CCUACGGGAGGCAGCAGUGAGGAAUAUUGGUCAAUGGUCUGGCGACUGAACCAGCCAAGCCGCGUGAGGGAGGAAGGUCCAGAGUAUCGUAAACCUCUUUUGUCAGGGAACAAAGGCGGGUACGUGUCCCCGGAUUAAUGUAACUGAAGCAAAAGCAUCGGCUAACUCCGUGCCAGCAGCCGCAGUAAUACGGAGGAUGCGAGCGUUAUCCGGAUUUAUUGGGUUUAAAGGGUGCGCAGGCGGGCUGUUAAGUCAGCGGUCAAAGCCCGGGGCUCAACCCCGCCCCGCCGUUGAAACUGGCAGUCUUGAGUUGGAGAGAAGUAUGCGGAAUGCGCGGUGUAGCGGUGAAAUGCAUAGAUAUCGCGCAGAACUCCGAUUGCGAAGGCAGCAUGCUGGCUCCACACUGACGCUGAGGCACGAAAGCGUGGGUAUCGAACAGGAUUAGAUACCCUUGUAGUC
rnacentral:rRNA from 1 species